GACGAACGCUGGCGGCGUGCUUAACACAUGCAAGUCGAACGGAAAGGCCCUGCUUUUGUGGGGUGCUCGAGUGGCGAACGGGUGAGUAACACGUGAGUAACCUGCCCUUGACUUUGGGAUAACUUCAGGAAACUGGGGCUAAUACCGGAUAGGAGCUCCUGCUGCAUGGUGGGGGUUGGAAAGUUUCGGCGGUUGGGGAUGGACUCGCGGCUUAUCAGCUUGUUGGUGGGGUAGUGGCUUACCAAGGCUUUGACGGGUAGCCGGCCUGGGAGGGUGACCGGCCACAUUGGGACUGAGAUACGGCCCAGACUCCUACGGGAGGCAGCAGUGGGGAAUAUUGCACAAUGGGCCGAAGCCUGAUGCAGCAACGCCGCGUGCGGGAUGACGGCCUUCGGGUUGUAAACCGCUUUCGCCUGUGACGAAGCGUGAGUGACGGUAAUGGGUAAAGAAGCACCGGCUAACUACGUG
rnacentral:rRNA from 1 species